GACGAACGCUGGCGGCGUGCUUAACACAUGCAAGUCGAGCGAUGAAGUUCCUUCGGGAAUGGAUUAGCGGCGGACGGGUGAGUAACACGUGGGUAACCUGCCUCAUAGAGGGGAAUAGCCUUUCGGAAGGAAGAUUAAUACCGCAUAAGAUUGUAGUUUCGCAUGAAUCAGCAAUUAAAGGAGUAAUCCGCUAUGAGAUGGACCCGCGUCGCAUUAGCUAGUUGGUGAGGUAACGGCUCAACAAGGCGACGAUGCGUAGCCGAACUGAGAGGGUGAUCGGCCACAUUGGGACUGAGAAACGGCCCAGACUCCUUCGGGAGGCAGCAGUGGGGAAUAUUGCACAAUGGGGGAAACCCUGAUGCAGCAAUGCCGCGUGAGUGAUGACGGUCUUCGGAUUGUAAAGCUCUGUCUUCAGGGACGAUAAUGACGGUACCUGAGGAGGAAGCCACGGCUAACUACGUGCCAGCCGCCGCUAUAA
rnacentral:rRNA from 1 species